CGAACCUGCCUCAUACAGAGGGAUAAUCAUGUGAAAACGUGACUAAUACCGCAUGCAUUUGUUGAAGGCAUCUUCGACAAAGAAAAGGAGCAAUCCGGUAUGAGAUGGGCCCGCAUCUGAUUAGCUAGUUGGUGAGAUAACAGCCCACCAAGGCGACGAUCAGUAGCCGACCUGAGAGGGUGAUCGGCCACAUUGGGACUGAGACACGGCCCAA
rnacentral:rRNA from 1 species